UCCGUAGGUGAACCUGCGGAAGGAUCAUUAUCGAGUUUUGACUGGGUUGUAGCUGGCCUUCCGAGGCAUGUGCACGCCCUGCUCAUCCACUCUACACCUGUGCACUUACUGUGGGCUUCAGAUCGUAAAACGGGUCCCUUUACCGGGCUUGCGGAGCGUGUCUGUGCCUGCGUUUAUCACAAACUCUAUAAAGUAUCAGAAUGUGUAUUGCGAUGUAACGCAUCUAUAUACAACUUUCAGCAACGGAUCUCUUGGCUCUCGCAUCGAUGAAGAACGCAGCGAAAUGCGAUAAGUAAUGUGAAUUGCAGAAUUCAGUGAAUCAUCGAAUCUUUGAACGCACCUUGCGCUCCUUGGUAUUCCGAGGAGCAUGCCUGUUUGAGUGUCAUGAAAUCUUCAACCUGCAAGCUUUUGUGGUUUGUAGGCUUGGACUUGGAGGCUUGUCGGCCGUUCUUGGUCGGCUCCUCUUAAAUGCAUUAGCUUGGUUCCUUGCGGAUCGGCUCUCAGUGUGAUAAUGUCUACGCUGCGACCGUGAAGCGUUUGGCGAGCUUCUAACCGUCUCAGUUGGAGACAACUUUAUGACCUCUGACCUCAAAUCAGGUAGGACUACCCGCUGAACUUAAGCAUAUCAAUAAGCGGAGGAAAAGAAACUAACAAGGAUUCCCCUAG
rnacentral:rRNA from 1 species